UGAACGCUGGCGGCGUGCUUAACACAUGCAAGUCGAACGAACCUUCGGGUUAGUGGCGGACGGGUGAGUAACGCGUGAGAAUCUGCCCUCAGGAGGGGGAUAACGGCUGGAAACGGCCGCUAAUACCCCAUAUGCCGAGAGGUGAAAUGAAUUUCGCCUGAGGAUGAGCUCGCGUCUGAUUAGCUAGUUGGUAGGGUAAAGGCCUACCAAGGCUUCGAUCAGUAGCUGGUCUGAGAGGAUGAUCAGCCACACUGGGACUGAGACACGGCCCAGACUCCUACGGGAGGCAGCAGUGGGGAAUUUUCCGCAACGGGCGAAAGCCUGACGGAGCAACGCCGCGUGAGGGAUGAAGGCCUCUGGGCUGUAAACCUCUUUUAUCAAGGAAGAAGAUCUGACGGUACUUGAUGAAUAAGCCACGGCUAAUUCCGUGCCAGCAGCCGCGGUAAUCUGAUGGCGCGAGG
rnacentral:rRNA from 1 species